rnacentral:rRNA from 1 species
CAGUAGCCGCGGUAAUUCGGAAGGUCCAGGUGUUAUCCGGAUUUAUUGGGUUUAAAGGGAGCGUAGGUCGCAGGUUAAGUGUGUUGUGAAAAGCAGUCGCCCAACGUCUGCCUUGCAGCGCAAACUGUCCUGCUUGAGUGCGCACAACGCAGGCGGAAUUCGUCGUGUAGCGGUGAAAUGCUUAGAUAUGACGAAGAACUCCGAUUGCGAAGGCAGCUUGCGGGAGCGCAACUGACGCUGAAGCUCGAAAGUGCGGGUAUCGAACAGGAUUAGAUACCCCCGUAGUCCCUGUCUCUUAUAA